CAGUCGCCGCGGUAAUACGUAGGGUGCAAGCGUUAAUCGGAAUUACUGGGCGUAAAGCGUGCGCAGGCGGUUCUAUAAGACAGAUGUGAAAUCCCCGGGCUCAACCUGGGAACUGCAUUUGUGACUGUAGAGCUGGAGUACGGUAGAGGGGGAUGGAAUUCCGCGUGUAGCAGUGAAAUGCGUAGAUAUGCGGAGGAACACCGAUGGCGAAGGCAAUCCCCUGGGCCUGUACUGACGCUCAUGCACGAAAGCGUGGGGAGCAAACAGGAUUAGAUACCCCCGUAGUCCCUGUCUCUUAUAC
rnacentral:rRNA from 1 species